UAAAAACUUGUAUUGAUGACAGGAACAAACAAUAUAUUUAGAAUUGAAGGAAUGCUAAGAAACCAAGAGUAUGUGGAAUGCCAUUGAACAAUGGAGAACCAUUGCUCCUCAAUGUUCCAUGAUGUAGGUAAAGAAGAAUUCUAUGCCCCUGAUAAAUGAUAUUUUGUAUGAUUUUUGGCAUCCAAACAAAGUAACAUCUCACAUUUGGAUUUAAACCAGUGCUCAAUCUACAAGGGGAGAUAUUUUAUUAAGCUGAAUUCAUUGGCCAAGCUAUGAAAACCUGAAGGGAGACUUCAGUGCUGGAGUGAAAGAAAGUCCUGUAUCUGGAAAAGACAGUGAGAAAAUAAGAAAAAGUGAAUAAAUGACAAGAAGCAUCAAUAAAACAUUUUAUAAAGAUAAA